rnacentral:rRNA from 1 species
UACAGAGGGUGCGAGCGUUAAUCGGAAUUACUGGGCGUAAAGGGCGCGUAGGCGGUUCGUUAAGUCCUGUGUGAAAUCCCCCGGCUCAACUGGGGAACUGCACAGGAAACUAGCGGGCUUGAGUUCGGGAGAGGGAAGCGGAAUUCCGGGUGUAGCGGUGAAAUGCGUAGAUAUCCGGAGGAACACCGGUGGCGAAGGCGGCUUCCUGGACCGACACUGACGCUGAGGCGCGAAAGCUAGGGGAGCAAACGGG